rnacentral:rRNA from 1 species
UGGGGAAUAUUGGGCAAUGGGCGAAAGCCUGACCCAGCCACGCCGCGUGAGUGAUGAAGGCCUUCGGGUUGUAAAGCUCUGUGGGAAGGGGCGAAAGGCAUAUAGAGUAAUAUGAUAUAUGUUUGACGGUACCUAUUUAGCAAGCACCGGCUAACUCUGUGCCAGCAGCCGCGGUAAGACAGAGGGUGCGAACGUUGCUCGGAAUUACUGGGCGUAAAGCGCGUGUAGGCGGACAAGAAAGUCGGAUGUG